GGUCGUGGAAGAGUCGCGCCCGCCCCACGAGGGGCAGUGUCAGCUUUGCCAUAUUUGUUGCUUGACAGCUCUGGGCAGUGCGGCAGCCUGAGCCUGCCCAGGGCUUGUCCAAACUCCCAAAGGUCAGAGCUUGGCGCUCUGGGCUUCCCACUCCAGUGAGAAGCUGGGACGAGCUACCCAGCCAGGGCAGGUGGGCUCUCGGGGGACCUUGUGCUGAGCUGUGUGAAGCCCAGCAGUGGGGCUUCCCAGGAGCUGCACAAAAUACACAGCUUUUUUAGGCAGAAGGGGUGGGUGGGGCAUUAGUUAUAUGGAGCCGGGAAGCAGGCUGGCCAUCACUGGGCCAUGUCCCCUGGAGGAUGGCGGCGUCCCCCAGGUGCCCAGUGCUGCAUCAGGUCCAUCUCUGAGAGGGCGGGCCCGUCUCCUUUCGGUGAUGUCUUAGCCUGGGUGACUGCACUUGGGGCCUGCUGUUGUGUUUUUAACGUUAUUCAUAUGGCUGAUCUGAACCAGAAAGAGGUUUACAAAUAGAAAUGGCUGUUCCUUGAACAUUUUGUUUAGAUAUAGGGAUACCGUAUACACGUAAACACACACACACACCCGUCAGCGUUUGCCACGUCCUUUCUUCCAAAGAGGACAUGGUGGCUUCAUGGAAUCUAGGAAUAUGAGGAGGAGCUGAGUGUGAACCUGGCAUCCUCUGCUCACCUUCCGGAUGGAAGUGGGAAGCCGGCUUCAAAUCAACUAUGAGGACCGCGGACUGAGCCUCCAGAUCGCAUCUGCCCAGUACAGUUCCUGCCGGUGCAGCCCCCAAGGGCUCACCUAAGGACACCCAAGAGUCCCUGCUGCCUCCCCUACAGCCUGAGGGCCCUUGAGCUCAGAGCACCUCGAACUGAGUCUUGGACUUUGUCCCUGGGCAGCCACACCUUCAAGCUGACACGGGCCCUGGGGUGUUCCAACUCCCUGCAGAAAUUGAUUCUUUGGACGGAUUCUCAGUGUACACAGCCUACCUGGCGGGCUCCAGGCUAGCUGGACACUGCGCUCAGGGGUCUGACUGGCCAGUGGGGACGGCCAGUGGCCCCACACUGCCUGUGCUGCGUGACAGAGGGCAGAGGAGGGAGAGCCCGUGCCUCCUGGGGGCCGGGGUGGAGGAAGGUCAGGCGCCCAGAGGACGGAAAAUGUCAGACAGACACAGAAAUGCCCGAGUCCAGGGAGGGGCGUCGGCACGGCCAGGCAGCUGUAGGGGUUGGGAGGGUGUCGGAGAGGCAGGCGGGUUCCCACGCCUCCCACACAGCUAGGCCUCCCCCACUGCAUGGGGCGAGGAGGGAGGUGACGCGGCUCAGACCUGGCCGUGUCUCUGCUGGUCCUUGUCACCACCAGACAGGGAAGCACAGAAAACCGUGCAGUGUCUGAGCACGUGGCCCGGCCACACACGUGGAGCUCCAAGGGGGAGAGUCUUGAGGCCCUGAGGUGGACGCUCCAGCCAUGUGACUGCUGUUGAGGCUCGUUCACACAUGCGCUCACGUGUGCGCCCCACACAUGUGCGCUCACAUGCGUUUGCUGUGCCUCCGCCGAGCCUCUCUUCCAGGGAAUUCGAGCACAGCCUGGUGACACCUCUGGACUCCCCUGCGACGUGUGUGCUGGCCUCUGCCUUCGCCUUCGGUGUCCCAAGCUCCUGUGACCUCUGAACGUAGAGCUGGGGGUUUGAAUUAAUUUUAUUGAAGUGUAGUGGGUUUACUCGGUUGUGUGAACUUCUGCUGCAUUGCAAAACGACACUUCCAUCCCCACAGACGUCACCACAGAACACUGGCCCCAUGUGCCUGUGCCGCACGGCAGCUCCCGCUGACCGCCCAUCCCCACACACUGAGAGACGCUCAGGCCGCAAUCCAUGUCUAUGCAGCUGGAAUCUCUGGACGUCAGUCCCCAUGGUACCCGGGGGAUGCUCAGCCUGGUGACUCUGUGCUCAAGCCUUGGGGUCCUCUGCGCAGCCACCACGAGGGCCUUCCCGAGGCAGGAGCCUGCACUGCCCACGCACUGUGCUCCUCCUCCCGGGACUGUGGGCCUGGCCCUGACCGUGACCGGCAGGAAGGUCCACCAGGCCACCUUCCCGAGCCCCUGGUCCCCAAGGCUCUUCGUCGACUUGCCCGUUUUAGAGCAUGUGCAGCCCUGGCCCACAGGGCAGAUGCACUGAGGUGGGGGCCGCAGGGGUCUAAGGAAAUUCAAGUCACAGAGGUAUGGCACCAGCCGUGUGUGCUCAGACAUGCGCGUGAAUGCUUGAGCACACACGCGCACACGUAUCCACGCACACUGUCUUGAGCUUUACUUCAGAAACGGAGAAAACCCCUAGGCCACCACUUGCCAAGAUGUGUCACAUUUUUUUGUCUUCAGAGAUAAAAGCCACUCGGCCUGUCUCAGUUUUCACUACUCAAGCCUGUGGAUUGUUAAAUCUCUAGGAGAUUCAGGCCAGCUUGCCAGCAUCUAGUUUUAAAAACUUAUUCAAAUGCCUCAAUUGAGCCUCUUCUAACAAGGCCAACGCCGGCUGCAGUUAGAAUUUGCGAGUUCAGGAGAAUAGCCAAGACCUGGAGACAGCGUGAGUGUCCACUGACAGAGAGGUAGAUAAAGAUGUGGUUCAUACACACAGUGGAGUAUUACUCAGCCAUAAAAAAGAAUGAAGUAAUGCCAUUUGCAGCAACAUGGGUGGACCUAGUGAUUGUCAUACCAAGGGAAGUUAGACAAAUAUAUGAUGUCACUUACAUGUGGAAUUUUAAAAAAUUAUAUAAAUGAACUUAUAUACAAAGCGAAUUCAGACUCACAGACAUAGAAAGCAAACUUAUGGUCACCAGAGGGGACAGGCGCAGGGAGGGAUGGCCUGGGGGCUGGGGACCGGCAGGCGCACACUGAGCUCUGUGGAAUGGAUGGUCAGCAGGGACCUGCCGUGUAGCACAGGGAGCUCUGCCCAGUAUCCUGUGCUGGUCCAUGUGGGAAAAGAAUCUGAAAGAGAAUGGGUGUGUGUUUAGGUCUAACUGAAUCCCCUGGUUGGACAGCAGAAACUAUCACAACACUGUAAAUCCACUAUCAUUCAAUAAGACUUCAAAAGUUAAAAAAACAGGGCCGAGACGGCCUCCAGGAAGCUGAGGCCAAGGGCAGGCACAGGGAUACCAGAGCCCUCAGGACCCCCUCAUGGGUGGGGGGCGGCUGUGGGAAUUGCAAGAUGGGGGUCCUGUGUGGGGAGCUGGGGCCCAGGGCUGGGAAGUGAGAACCCGGGAGCCCCUGCCUCGGCAAUUGAUGAGGCCAGAUGCGUGGAGCCACCCCCAGAGCAGAGGCCCCCUCGACCUGGAGCAGAGGGCCGGCGGGAGGGAGGGAAGGGCAGGCAGGUGAUGGGAGGAGGCUGGGCGGCCGCCUGUGUGCGGUUCCUGCCGGUAGGCUUGGAGCAGCGCUGAGCCCUCCUCUCAUGGGACUGUUCCCAACGCCACUCAGAGAGGCUGCCUCAGGGCCAGCGGCGUCUGAAGGCGUGAGAGCCGAAGACCAUGUGCUUCGGCAGACGCGGCCUGCCGGCCUUUCCCCACGGUGGCCUCGGGGAGCAGGCGGGACCGUCUCAUGACCCUCGCCCUCCCCCGCAGUUAGCACGGUCCUUAGGAAGCCCUGGAGGGGACCCUGGAUGGAGGGACCCCGCCCGUCCUACAGCAGCGCCCUGGCUGUGUUCAGAGAGACCCCACGGGGCUGAGACCCACUGACGCGGGUGUUGUAUGUUCACACGGAGAUGGCUGUGUCUGAUCUCGGUCGUGCCAGACCCAUCUUUCCACACGACAGUGUUCACUAAGUGACAUAAGUCACCCAUGAUGUGUUUGUCCCCUUUUAACUGUCAGUGGGUACGGCCCAGGGCAGCUGUCGCCAGUGGGCUGAGGCAGAACCACUUUCCCACCACAUGCUACCCGAGGUGCCGCAGGGCUCCGGGGCAGAGAACCGCUGCGGGGUUCCUUGGGUGCGGGUGGAUGUGCAUGCGAGCUCAGAGGGCUCGGGGUGGUGGCCACAGAGCCCUCGGCAGCACGUCUGGACAUGUUUCAUGCUUGGCUCCAGCAGCUCAUAAGAUCCAGGCCGACCCACAGCGGGGUUUCCAUCAAACCAGCCCCCACUUCUUUAAAGCCCUGGGACCUGCCGUCAUUUGUAGAAUCAGAAACUUCACGGCCACCUCCUGCUUAAAGGGACUGAACUGGACUGGCUGCUUUUGCUGAGUCAGCCUGUUGAAUUUCCAUGCGGUAGAUUUUCUUAUUACCACUGGAAUGUCGUAAGAGACCACAGCCACUGACCCUCUGGGACACGGGGAAGGACAGGGCUCCGUGAGAGCAGCUGCCUGCUGAUGUGGCCCUAGGGUGGCGGGUCAGGGGACCUGCCGUCGGCUGUGUGCUCUGCACAUCUGCUUUGGGGUCUGGUGGGAGGGAGAGUGACAGUGAGGCCUUAACGCGGAGCUUUUCCAGGCGGCUGGAGCCCCUCGUUCUCACCAGAAUCGCUCCUGCUGGAACAGAGAAAACCACUAGGAAGACAGCUUUGUGACUCCCAAAGUCGCUCCUUAGCACGCCUCCGCUGCCACCUGUGUGGGGUCCCCUGAUGGCACCCAGCGGUGGGAGCGUCCCUUCACCGUCACAUGGCCCACAUCCUGGGGUGUCUUCCUUCCUCUG
rnacentral:lncRNA from 1 species